rnacentral:ncRNA from 1 species
GUAUUGUGGGGACCGCCUCCACCGAGAGGCGUUGGGCAUUAGCCAGCAACGACGGCUUGCACGCGAGACUAGACCCCUUCGUUCGUGCAUCCCUCCUUCAAGCAGCCGUCGCAGCCAGCCAGGCCGUUUUUUUUG